UGGGGAAUUUUCCGCAAUGGGCGAAAGCCUGACGGAGCAAUACCGCGUGAGGGAGGAAGGCUCUUGGGUCGUAAACCUCUUUUCUCAGGGAAGAAGAAAGUGACGGUACCUGAGGAAUCAGCAUCGGCUAACUCCGUGCCAGCAGCCGCGGUAAUACGGAGGAUGCAAGCGUUAUCCGGAAUGAUUGGGCGUAAAGCGUCCGCAGGUGGCGAUGAAAGUCUGCUGUUAAAGAGUGAGGCUCAACCUCAUAAGAGCAGUGGAAACUACAUAGCUAGAGUGCGUUCGGGGCAGAGGGAAUUCCUGGUGUAGCGGUGAAAUGCGUAGAGAUCAGGAAGAACACCGGUGGCGAAAGCGCUCUGCUAGGCCGCAACUGACACUGAGGGACGAAAGCUAGGGGAGCGAAUGGGAUUAGAUACCCNNAGUAGUCA
rnacentral:rRNA from 1 species